UUGUUGUUGUUUUGAGACAGAGUCUCACUGUCACCCAGGUUUGAGUGCCAUGGCACGAUCUUGGCUCACUGUAACCUCCACCUCCCGGGUUCAAGCGAUUCUCCUGCCUCAGACCCAAGUAGCUGAGAUUGCAGACGUGCGCCACCAAGCUCGGUUAAGUUUUGUAUUUUUAGUAGAGACAGGGUCUCACUAUGUUGGCCAGGCUGGUCUCAAACUCCUGACCUCAGGUGAUCGGCCCGCCUCGGCCUCCCAAAGUGCUGGGAUUACAGGCAUGAGCCAAUACGCCCGGCCUAUUUUUGAGAUUUUCUGCUGCUACUCCAGCUUAGCCUGACAGAGCUUUCACUUUUUGUUCCUACCCCUUCGUGUGCAUCUGAACAAUCCACAAGCCUCACGAACUCCUGUGGCUUCCCUCCCUUCGAGCUGUAUCCACCAUGACCUCUUGACCAGGGCUGAGGGAGAAGGAGGAGGGUCGUGCCACUAUCCUAGCACCCUCUGUCAAGAGCCACAGUCAUCAGAACCAUGGAGUGACUGACUGGGUGCUGCAAAAUGCUUAGAAUGUCACCAGAAGCAAUGAGAGGAUGUCCAAAUACAGUGGUACUGGGAAUUCCAGUCCUUGGAGUCUAUCAUGAUAAUUUGUCAUGCUGUUUUAUCUUAAGAGUGGCUCAAGAAAACGGACUUGCAAGGAAGCCCAAAAGGCAGGUACCUUAGAGAAAUCAGAUAAGCUUCACAAAAAUAAGAAAUAAUUUCAUGAGUUAAUAAUGAAACAGAGAAAAUGACAACAAAAUUAAUAAUUCAUUGGUCAUUAUGGGAGAAAAUCAGAAAACCAACCACUUAUGUUGAAAGCUAGCAAAUAAAGGAAGAUAAUUAAGUAUUUAACCUGGCUUUCUUAUAUGAUAAGUUCCUCAGAACAUCCAAAUAGGAGUAGAUUCUAUUUAUUGAAUUAUCCCAGCUUAUGAGUAAAGAAGAUAAAAUAGAAUUUAAAAAUUAUUAUUUUGUAGUGCCUUAUGAAUUAACGGAUCUAGACAAUAAUUGUCAGGGGUUGUUAUCAUCGUAAAAAUAAAGAUCAUACAUCAUGUGACCCAGUGAAAGCAAACAAUGCUACCUAUAAAGUGUUCUAGCUAAAACAUCAAGCUAAAUCUGAUCAAGUCUCUCUGUAUAAUUGUUAAUGUAUGGUAAAUAAAGAGGAGAAUAUAUUAAAUGACACUAUGAAAAUGCAGUCAGAAAAUACAGACUAUGAGAAACUCUGUGAGACAAAUGGCCGAAUGUCCUGAACAAAUACAUUUCAAAAAGGAGGAAGAGAAGGAAAAGAAGAAAGGAAAGCAAAAUCAUAGGAAAUAUGGUAGAGUUUACAGAAAUGUGUUGCUUCAAUGAGUGGCAAAAACAGCACUAGACUAAACAAUACUUUGGUCCUGCCUAACAAAGCUUAAACAACAAGAUCUGAAAAGAUCAAACUGUUUGCAACUAAUUUAACUGUGUCCCAGAAGAAAACUCAAGAAUAUUUACAGAAAUAUAAAAAUGUCUAGGAUCCAACAAGGUAAAAUUCAUAAUAUUUGACAUUUGAUCAAAAUUACCAGCCGUGCAAAGAUGCUGUAAAAUAUGACCCAUAACGAGGGAAAAAAAUCAAUCAAUUGAAACCAACCCAGAGUGGACACAAAUGUUACAAUUAAUCAAUAAGGAUAUUUUAAAAGUUGCUAUAACUCUAUUCCAUAUGUUCUAGAAGUUAGAGAAAGACUGAUCAUGUUCAAUAGAGCAAUGGAAAAUAUUAAAAAGACUCAAUUCAAACUUCUAGAGAUAAAAACUACAAUGUAUGAGGUGAAAAAUAUUCUGAAUGGGACUAACAGAUAGGCACUACAAAAGAAACGAUUAGUGAUCUUGAAGAUGUAGCAAUAGAAACUAUUCACAAUGAAACACAGAAAAGACUGGGAAAAAACAACCCACAGAAUCAGUGAGCUGUGGGACAACUACAAAUGGGCUAAUAUAUGUGUAAUUAGCAUUCCAAGAGGAGAAGAGACAGAAGGAGAUACAGAAAAAAGUUUUUGAAUAAAUAAUGCUGAACAAUUUCAAAUUUGAUGAAAACUAUAUACUCACAAAUACAAGAUUCCCAAUCAACUCCAAGCACAAGAAGCCUGAAGAAAACUACAUCAAUUCACAUCAUAAUCAAAUUGCUUAAAACAAGUAAUAAUGAGAAAAAUAAAAGGCACGAAUAUGUUAUGAGUAAAAGGAUGGAAAAAGACAUAGCACACUAACAUCAAUCAAAAGAAAGCUGGAGUGAUUCUAUUAGCAUCAAAAAAGAAGUGGAUUUCAGGACAAAGAAUAUUAUUAGGGACAAUAAGGGUAAUUUUAUAAUGAUAAAUGUGUCAAUUCAUCAAGAGAAUAUAACAAUCAUAAACAUUUCUGUACCUAAUAACAGAAAUUCAAAAUACAUGAAGCAAUAUCUGAUAGAACUUCAAGAAGCAACAGAAGUUCACAAUUAAUGUCAGAGAUACCAAUAAUUGAUAAAACAAGUAGAAAAAAGUUAAUAAAGAGAGAGAAAAAGUAAAAAGCUGUCACAACUAAAUCUAAUUGAAAUGUAUAAAAUACUCAGCCCAACAAUGGCAGAAUACAUAUUCUUUUCAAAUAUACAUAGAACAUUUACCAAAAUAGACCAAAUUCUGGGUUAUGAAACAUGGAUCAGCAAAUAUAAAGGGAUUCAAGUCAUACAAAGUAUGGUCUCUGGCCAAAAUGAUAUCAAAUUAGAAAUCAAAAUUAGAAAAGUAUCUAGAAAAAUUCCCACAUAUAAAAACUAAAUAACACUCUUCUAAUAACCCAUAUAUAAAAGAAAAAAUAAAAAGGGAAAUUAGCAAGUAAUUUAAAGCAAAUAAACAUGAAAGCACAACAUAGCAAAGAUUGUGAAAUGUAACUAAAGAAGUACUUAGAGGGAAAUUUAUAGUUCUAAACUCCUAUAAUAAAAAGUUAGAAAAUCACAAAUUAAUAAUCUCAGCUUCCAAAUAAAGAAAAAAAAAUUUCAAGUUAAUGACCCAAGUUUCUAGCUUAAGAAACUAGAAGGAGCAGACUAAAUAUAAAUUUAAUAGAAGAAAAUGAAUAAUAAUGUUCAGAAUAAAAAUCACUGAAAUAAAAACAGAAAAGUAAUAAAGAAAAAUCAAUGAAACUAAAAACUGGUUCUUUGAGAAAUCAAUAAAAUUGAUGAAUUUUUAGCCAGACCCAUGAGAAAGAAAAAAUAAAGACAAAAAUUACCAAUAUCAGAAAUAAGAGAAGUGACAUCAUCCUGUACUAUGCAGAUAUUAAAAGCAUAUUAAGGAAAUAUCAUGAAAAAUUAUCUGGCUAUAAAUUUGGUGAAUUUGAUGAGAUGAAUAAAAUCACUGAAAGACACAAACUACCAAGGUUCCUUCAAAAAGAAAUAGAUAAUCUGAAAAAAUAACCUUGCAUCUACUAAAAAAUAGAAUACAUAGUUUAAAAUCUUCCCACAAAGAAAACUCUAAGCAAAAAUGGCUUCACUGGUAAAUCUUGCCAAACAUUUAAGAAAAAAUAAGUCUAUACUAACACUUUCUGAAAAUUGAAAAGGUAAACCCUUUUCAACUUUAUGAGGCCAGGAUUAUGCUAGUAUCAAAGUGACACAGAUAUUACAAGAAAACCGUAGACUAACAUCUAACAUAUGUAGAUGCAAAAUUUUUAGGCAAAAUUUUAGCAAAUUAAAUCUAGUGAUGUAUGAAAGAAAUAAUAUAUUAUUGCCAAGUAGAGUGCAUCCCAGAAAUGCAAGAUUGGUUUAACUUUGAAAAUCAAUGUAAUUCAUUGUUUCAAUUGUCCAAAAAUUAAAAAUCAUACAAUCCUGUCAAUAGAUGUGUUAAAAAGGCAUUGAUCUAAAUGUGAUAUUUAAAAUGAGGAAACUUCUAAAUGUAAAAUUUUUUCAUGACCUUUGUGUUAAAUAAAGAUUUCUUCAAUAUGACACCAAAACAUGGUCCAUUAAAGAAAAAACUAUUAUAUUGUACUUCAUAAAAUGUAAAAUCUCUUCAAAAGACACUAAGAUAAUAAGAAGGUGUCAUAGAUAUCUGUCAUCCAGGUUGGAGUGCAGUGGUGCGGUCUUGGCUCACUGCAACCUCCACCUCCUGGGUUCAAGAGAUUCUCCUGUCUCAGUCUCCCGAGUAGCUGGGACUACAGGCAUGCGCCACCGCGCCUGGCUAAUUUUUGUAUUUUUUCUUGAGAUGGGGUUUUGCCAUGUUGGUCAGGUUGGUCUCGAACUCCUGACCUCAGGUGAUCCACCCAUCUCGGCCUCCCAAAGUGCUGGGAUUGUAGGCGUAAGCUACCGUACCUGGCCAAAUUCUUAUAUAUUCUCCCUUGUAUACAAAUAUAUUAAUGUUAAAUAUAGUCAUAAGAAUUCUGCAUGCUCAGAAACAUUCUGAUCUUAUGAUUUUUAUGCCCUCAAGUCUCCCCUCUCCCUGCUACUUGAUCUUUAUUUCCAGAAGUGGGAAUUAGGAACAGAAACGAACACAACAGUCCUCAACACAAAAGCUUCUUUCUUAUGAAGACAAAACAAAGCCAGUCAACUAAAACUAAAUAAAUAAAAGAAAAAACUAAUUCAACAACUUGGUCAUUGACAAAUUCAUCAUUUGGCAAUUGUUCUGGAGCAGGCACAUGGACAGUUUUUUAAGUAUAUUAAAGGAAAGGAGGAAUGGGGUGGGAGGAAAAGGAAAGGAAUGAAGGAAGGAAAAGGAAGGAAAGCACGAGGUCUCAGCCAUUUGACGAAUAUCCAUCAAGUGCAAAUCCAUACCCUCAAAAUGUGGCAAUUAUUUAUUUCAUCACCUUUAUCAAAUAGUAAUGAGUGACACAAUGUUGCCUAUGAACAGGAAUAAAAAAGAAUAAAUGGAAAGGAGGUGGAUAGGACCAGUUGCUCACCAUGAGCAUUUUAUUUUUAUAUCUGAAUUUUGAACUAUCUAAAACCUAGAAAUGUUCAAUAGUGGGCUGGUGAUAUGAAUGUCAAAAGAGUUGUACUGUUAUCUGCAGCCAGUAAUCAUAAAGUUCCAUGCAAAUGAACUGCAAGUGAAAUAGAUAUUGAUCAUCUCUAGCUGACAACAUGUGAUCCAGUAACUACUUCCGGGUUAUACCAGAGUUCAUCUUUAAGUUUUUCUUUCUGGUGAUACAAAACAACACCCACCAAGGAUAACUCAAAUAUAAUCCAGGUAAUGAGAUUUGGUAAUAUAGUACAUAAGUAUUCCAUCAUUGGAAUUGCAAUAUUUCCCCAACCCAAAUACUCCUAUUAAACCUACCAGGGAA
rnacentral:lncRNA from 1 species